UGGGGGGGGUACCCCAGCCCCCGGGAGAGAUCCAGCUGCAGGUCUCCCCUGUGGAUGGGGGCCAGUAAAGAAGGCAGGUGGGAGCUGUGGCCGUGGGACUCCCCCCAGGGAGGCUGCUCCAUUCCUGCUGCUGAGAACGGCACACCUCGGUGCACGGAGGCAGCAGCACCACAGCCUCCUGCUUCCAGCCCGGCUCAGCCUGGGAAUGCCACGAGAGCGGCCUCCAUCCCCCAAAGUCCCCACAGGCUGUCCCCACCCCGCAGCUCUCCGUGACACCAGCUCCAUACAUAACCCUGAGCAGCUCCCAGCUGCAGGGGACGCGAGGAAGGAGCAGGAUUCUCCCUUCCAGGCUAAACCGAGCCCUCCGGAAGGGCUGAUCUGGCAUUGCCACGCUCUACUGUCACCAUUUGAGGAGACUCGUGGAGAGGACAGACCCUGCCUGGCCCCUCAGGACCUCCCCGAUUGCCCUCUGCCUCCCACGCUCCCUCCCGCAGAUGUUUGGGAUAGCUGGGCCCUUGCUGCUCCGGCCCCGGUGACAAAUGCUCGCCUGAGCCGGGUUUAUUAUUGUAAGAGCCUGGAGGUGGCUCUGGCCAACUUUCCAUCUGGGGCCAAGCCAGCAGCUGCAGGGCACCCUUCAGCAGAGCCACCCUGGGGACGAGCCAUCCCCACCCUGGGCACCCUCUGCAUGCCAUGGCGGUGGGGACCAACCCCCUGGCAUCACCCAGCACCCUGUGGCAGCAGAGGGUGGGCACCAAGAGCAAACCCCCAGUCCCAGGCAAGGGAUGGAGCUGGGAGCUCCAUCCUUCAGCCCACAGCGCUGGGAGGGAGGGGGUUGCUGAGAGGCCCCCCCCCAACCCUGCACCCCCUGGCGCUGCUCCCCGGCCAGGCUGUCGUGGGCUGGAGCGCAGCGGGCUCGGUGAUCGAUGGCCGAGGCGUGGGCUUGCCAAGCCCUGCGUGUUUGGAAGGCGUCGUGUUUGUCUUGGCAGGAGCGGGGAUGUCAUCUCCUCCGCCUUGCACCGUGACGAGCUGGGAAAGCCAACGGGGGGUUGCGCCGGAGCGGGUGCCCCAGCGGGUCCCCUGGCAGCAGCAGUGGAGGGGUCUGCCCCACAUGGGCACAGCGAGGUGCCGGCGAGGCGGGAGGACGAGCAGAGGGACCCAGUUAGGGGCGGCGUGGGUGACGUGGGGAUGAGGCGAGCGUGAUGUGCCCUGGCAAAGUGGGUUUGGCUGCCCAGAUGUGCCCUGCACUUGGUGGAGAUGCCAUCAUCAGGUGGAGAUGCCAUCAGGUGGAGAUGCCAUCAGGCAGACCUGCCCCCAGCCCUCGGGUCAAUGAGCCCUCUGCUCUGCAAGUGGGGAAACU
rnacentral:lncRNA from 1 species